rnacentral:lncRNA from 1 species
GUUUCUCUGAAAAAGGAUCAUGGAAUUCUGAGUCUUACUAAAUUCAUAGUGAAAAAAACUGCCGCUUUACCUGUUUCCUGCACGUUGCAGCAAAAUCCACUCGGGCGAAAGGUGUCGUUUGUCUGGAAAUCCACCUGGCAGGCGUGUCCCGGUUUCCCUCUGGACACGCUGCACACUCUGACGCCGUCCGGGCGCUACAAACGGCAGAUUGACUAGACUGCGGCUGCAACGGAUGAUGAAGCUGACUCUCAGACGGAUAAUCCGAUACCUUUGUAAUGAGCGUUAGGCAGGAUCUGUCAUUCCGGGGCGGUCGUCUCCACCGACCUGACCGGAAACCUGUGUGCUCUAGGUGAACCGCACGCACGCCAGUAUCGGCCGCUGCUCCGGUGUCCGCCUCACAAAGAUUCUUGCCAAUUUACUUCUGUGAUUGGCAACAAUGGCGACGACUUCCUCGCCGGAAGCCAGCUUCCUCGAGCGUGCGAGAGGUGGGAACGAUGACGGCGAUGGCCAGGAGACGAUGGAAAUUCUGAUGGAGAUAUCUACGCUACUGGACACCGGUUUGGACAGGGCCACUCUACAGAUUUUGGUGGAGCUUGUCGAGCAAGGUGUGCAUCCAGAGGCACUGUCUCGUGUUGUGCUCGAGAUGAGGCGAGAAUUACAGGCAGUGCGGGAGAAGGAGGAGAGGUCAGAGAGGAACAAUCCCAUUAAGGACUGACCGACCCAGCUGACGUUCGCUUCCCCGUGUAUCUCUGCGACUGACUUAUGAAUGUCACUGCUGCUAUGCUUACGCCUGGACCAGUAUAUUGGGUGAACUCGAUAUGCUGGUAAUAUUAGCAGGCCGUGGUGACUUUUCUAGAGGGUAGUGGCGUAGGUGUUGCUGCUGCGUGUGAGCCCAAGGGAAAGCACCCUACAAUCCCUCAGAAAUGAGGGAAUAACGACAAAGGGAAUUUCGCCUUCUGUGCACACCGUCCGUGGUUGACGGCGAAGGACAGACGCCGACCUUCAGGCGUUGCCAAAAGAGAGAUUCGUGGAGCCAUUACGAGGCCGGAGUAGCUCCCUUUUAUGCGAAGGAGAAGAGGCGGAGAUCUAUGAAUCGACAACUCACAGAAAAACUGCGAAGAUAAACUGCAUGUCGGGCAAAUGCAAGCUGGUGGCCGCCAACUCAAGAGGAGCAUAUUAGUCUAGAAGACAUCAUUCUGUCACCAGCAUCAUCGUGGCUUCUCUGUCUGACAAAGAGGCGUUUUGAAGAAUCGUGGCUGAGCGCAUAAGGGAAACAGAGCACGGCAAACCCAGUGACGACCGCCGCUGUGUCUACUCGGGAAUCAUUACCACUUGCUUACGAAGAAAGGCGUCGAGGGCAUCAAUUGCCGUACAGGCAAGUCGGUAGGCUUUAGAGUAAAUUCAUUUUGCAUUGUCGUGUCCAGCGGCAGCUUCCCGGUUUAUCACUGUGACACGUCACACAGACUGAUUUUAGGGUUUACCUGAUCUAGUCCUAUUGGCUACAACAGCUCGAUAGCAAAUGCAACAAGACCUGUAACGGCUGAACUCAUGAGCACCCCGCCGGUUGAGCUCGACUCCUCAGUCUUUGUGGAAAUAGCUGCCUGUCUUGUUGGAGCGCAUUUGCUCCGUCGGCAGCCUGUGUAAUAAGAUAGACUGCCAUGUUCGUGUACGCUUGCAUUUCAAUGCACCCCGAACUGUUGAAACUUACUUUUCAGAGCUGGUACCAUAACUCUUCAAAGCAAAGCGUCAUUUUCCGGUGUCUGAAAAUGCGUCCGAGCGAUCGGCAUUCUUCUAUGGAAAGUUGCCUCCUCCCUACAACGAGCUGGCAUCGAUGGACCCUGGUAUACGUCUUUGUUUACGGGAGCCAAGUUCUGUUGUGCUUUUCAUGAGCCUCAUGUGAGGUUCGUUAUGUAUUGUGGAAUCCAGCGUAUAUCUGGAAACGUCGGUCCGACCCUUCACAUGUCCGUGUAAAACUUCUUAAAAAGCAGUUAUCAUUGAAUCGGAUACUGCCCAACAGUAAGGCCCU